rnacentral:rRNA from 1 species
UACGUAGGGUGCAAGCGUUGCCCGGAUUUAUUGGGCGUAAAGAGCUCGUAGGCGGCUUGUCGCGUCGUCCGUGAAAACUUGGGGCUCAACCCCAAGCUUGCGGUCGAUACGGGCCAGGCUGGAGUUCGGUAGGGGAGACUGGAAUUCCUGGUGUAGCGGUGAAAUGCGCAGAUAUCAGGAGGAACACCGGUGGCGAAGGCGGGUCUCUGGGCCGAUACUGACGCUGAGGAGCGAAAGCGUGGGGAGCGAACAGG